rnacentral:pre_miRNA from 1 species
CUAUAUCUACCCUGUAGAUCCGGAUUUGUGUCCAAAUGUCUAACAGCAUCACAAAUUCGCUUCUAGGGGAGUAUAUAGU